rnacentral:lncRNA from 1 species
GAUUCUUUCUCCUUUCUUAACCCAGAUUGAUUGAUCGGUUGAUUGAUAUAACCCAGCAGUGUGCAUUCCUGAUGCCUAUCUGAAUCAAUUCCUGUUUCUGAUUACUAAUUGGCCUGCUUCCUUUCGUUAAUUGCACUUUUGUGAGGACUACUCUGGGUGACCCGCAUUGUGAGCUCAUUAACAGCUUUGUUCGACCUCAGGCAGGUUAAGGCAGUCACCCAAGGUCAGACACCUAUUUAAUGGGGAGUCUGGUUUCAAACCCACAUCUGACUGACAGCAAUUCCACCCUGAGCUUUGAAGGCUCAGAAGACACAUUGCUGAGAGCAAAGCUGAAUUAACUCUGUGUGGGUUGAAGAAAGAAGACAUGAGAUUUGGAGUCAAACAGGCAGGAGUUCUAACCCUCCUCUUGCUAACUUGUGAUCCUUGUUUUGUUUUUUUGUUUUUUGAGGAAGAUUAGCCCUGAGUUAACAUCUGAUGCCAAUCUUCCCCUUUUUGCUGAAGAAGACUGUCCCUGAGCUAACAUCCAUGCCCGUCUUCCUCUACUUUGUAUGUGGGACGCCUGCCACAGCAUGGCUUGCCAAGCAGUGCCAUGUCUGCACCCGGGAUCCAAACUGGUGAACUCUGGGCCACCAAAGAGGAAUGUGGGCACUUAACGGCUGCACCACCGGGCCAGCCCCAACACAGUUUUACAUUAAUAAAAAAGAAUAUGAAAAACUACCACCUAGGUAACAAUAGUAAUAAUAAUAAUGGGAUAAUGCUUAAGAUGUCAUUGAGACCUUCUGAUAACAAACACAUUACGGUA